UACGGGGGGGGCGAGCGUUGUUCGGAAUCACUGGGCGUAAAGGGCGCGUAGGCGGCCCGCACAAGUCUGCGGUGAAAACCCCCGGCUUAACCGGGGGCCGGCCGCGGAAACUGUCGGGCUGGAGGCUGGGAGAGGGCAGCGGAAUUCCCGGUGUAGCGGUGAAAUGCGUAGAGAUCGGGAGGAACACCGGCGGCGAAGGCGGCUGCCUGGACCAGUCCUGACGCUGAGGCGCGAAAGCUAGGGGAGCAAACAGG
rnacentral:rRNA from 1 species